ACCCUCCAGUGGGAACCAGGAAUUUCUGGUCAAAGACUGUUCCGCGCUUUCAGGGUCAGUUCUCGCUGCAUCCCUGUUCACCUUCUUCUCUAUCGGUCUCCAGGCACUUAGGGCAGCCUCACUCGCUAGCCCGCUGGGCGCCGCCACGGGCCUGGGGCCCCAGGGCGGGGACAGGGAGAAUACAGCCGAUUGUUGAAGAGAGCUUUAUUCCUGCGGCAACCCGCCACCAUCCCGGCUACUGCUGCUGGCCCAUGACAGCGCUGAGGGCUUCUGACAGGCUACCACUGCGACCUCGCGGACCAUGUCUCCCCUAUCCUUUGGGCGAAACGCUGGACAAGCCCCGCCGAUCGCUCUCCACUAGCCAGAUCUGGCCAACUUUAGUGCCUGGGCCCCCGUAAAGAAGAUCAGAGCAAGAACCUCUGCAUUUGUUGGUAGCUGCCAAAGAGUAAGAACCUCUGUGGGGUACUGCAUUGCUGCUGCUGCCACAAACCCAAGGAGAAAGACCCAGAAAGACCAAGGUUUGUUGAUGGAUUUUAUUGGGGACCUAAAAGUCUAGGAAUUAUGUGGGUAAUAUUUUAAAACUAGCACUACUAUUUAGCUUAUGAUAAGUACCCUGUGUCAAUUAUGAAUAUACCGAGCUUGACUGGUCCCUGGUCAUACUCUUUAGCCACUAAAAACCAAGUACGCACACCCUGUCCCAUGAACAUAUCCUCUAUGUCUUCUCAGCUCUAACCAGGGUCAAACACAAACGCCCUGGGUCCCAGGUAUCUUUCUCCUUCCCAUCCCCUCAGCUGAAAUGAAGGGUGCCUGCUCUACCCAAAGACCCAUGGGAGGGGAAAAAGUAAACCAUUCCUCUGCCCACCUUUCCCUCCCAAGGAAAACACUCCUAGGAUAGAGCAUACCCAGCCUUCCUGACAGGAAAGAAUAAUUAAUAUUUAGUCUUAAAUCUCCCCUUACCUAAUCCCCCUACCCACCCUACUUUUAGCUAAAGUGAGUCCAAAUACAACACUUUCAUGUCUGUCAAAACUGGAAGGGAACCAGACUGUCCUCUUCACUUUACAGGUGGUAAACUGAGACCCAGAAAGAAAAGAUUUUCUCAGUAACACUGUUAGUGGCAGAAUAGGAUAUAAAACCUGCAUUACCAUUUCCCUCUCAGCACCACCCCUCCCACCCACUCUCACACACAACUCUGAGGCUUCUUCAGGACUGGACCUAUUCAUUUACAAUGAAAUGCUAGCCAUCUAUUGUAUUUCCCUUCCCAGGUGGAUUACCCCUGAAAAGAGGACCUCAGGACAGAUUUACCCUUAACCAAAUGAAUGUCCUACCAGAUACCUUCUAAAGUAUCUGGUAUCUGGUAUCAAUAAUAGACUGGGAGAGAUUGGAGUGGAACAGGCUAUGAAGGGACCCAAGGAGAAGGAAUGUAGACAAUGUCUUCAUUUUGACUUAGAUUUAUAAAGCCCACUCAGCUCAUGCAUGACCCUUCUCCAUCACAGGCAGUUAACUCUGCACCCCGUACCCCACUCCCUUGCUAAACUGUCCUCCUGAAGCCAGCCCUAAGACAGGUAUCUCAGACAGGAGUGAAAAGAUAAAAGGCCAAGGUAAACACUCAUACUGUUUUAUUCCUUACCUACCACUCAGUGGCCCUAGACCAACCUUGGUUAUCUGAAGUUUUGUUAUGGAAAGUGGAGUUUUCAAGAAGCCCCCAUAUUAUUACUUACCUUGGGCUCUGGACUGCAUUUUUUAUCCCUGAAAACCAAUUCCUUUGCCUCUGGUAUUAUGAUACCAUGGGCUGCCCACAUAGACUUCUUCACCAGAUAAGGCUUAGUAGCUAGACAAAGAAAUGAGCAAUGAAGCUUUGAAAUUUCUGGGUUUUUUUUUUAAGGGAAGAGAGGUGGUAUGUGUGGAGGGGAUCUAUUUAUAGAUAUUGGUUUUUCAAAGACUCCUCUAGGCCCAGAAUUCUGGUCCAUUUUACACAUCAUCUUGGCAAUCAUCUACCCUGGGAACAGGAAUAAGGGGGUGAAUACUUACUUUUCUUACUAUAGUGUGACUUCUAUGUAAAUUAUGUAAGUGAGUGGUGUUGUGUGUGUUCAUGAUUAUAUUUGUGAGUAUGGUCGGUUGCACAGGUCAGUUUUACAAGUUUGUGUGUUCAUAUUUCAGCUAAAAUUAAUGCAGUUAAUAUUGCUGGUUAACUUUGGCAUGAAUGAAAACAAACUUCCAAGCACUAAAAUUAUAUGGAACAAAAUCCAUAUAUUCUAAUUUCCCUAAAUACUACAGAAGAGGCCUGUGUGCACAUCAGUCUUGGCCAUCCCCUGUCCAGCUUCUUCCCUGGAUGGGGGUCAACUCCUUGGCUUCAGGGAAGCACUUCUCAAAGUGAUCAGGGUGAAUGGUAGGUAAGUAGACUGCUUAGUAAAAUCAUUUUGAGCCCAGAAAGCCCUAUCUCCACCAAGUUUAGAGCAGGAAGUACUGGCAUCAGCCCAUUUGCGCUUGGACCUCUGCCCAAGCGCAAUGGAGUGGUGUUAUUCCUUUCUGCUUGCUUCCUUAUGGUGGUGAGGGCCCUUCUUCAGGACUAUCCCUCCAGAACUUCUAUUCCCUCCACCUUCUUCCAACCCUACCCACUCACCUGCUCACAGAUUUUUUUCUUUUUUUUUGGAGGCGUUGCAGCAUCAUGUGAGAUCUUAGUUCCCCGACCAGGGAUCAAACCCACGCCCCCUGCAUUGGACGUGCGGAGUCUUAACCACUGGACCACCAGGGAAGUCCCUCAUAGAUUUUUUUAAGUCACUUCACUGGAUCUACAAAAGGGCCAAUAGUAAACCCUCCAUGGGAGUGAAGUUGUCACUGCCUCUUUUCAAUUUCAGGGUUGCCAAGUAAGGUACUGUGAUCUCAAAAAUUAUCCUCCUGGAUACUGUUGCUAUCUUAAUCUUAUGAGUCCUAGACACUUCAGUGGAAAUGACCUUGCUAUGGGAGAAAAGAGCAUGGCUAUGCCCUUAGGCAGAUUGCUUCUCCUCUCCCUUACUUUAUUCAUCUGCAAAAUGGGGCUGAUCAGUCCCACCUUGAUCGUCUUACAAGGUCUUACAAGGAUCCAACAAGACAAAGCAUGGUCUUUGUGAACCAAAAAACACAGGCCAAAUAAUGUGGAUACCAAAAAAUACCAACCAACCAACCAACCAAACACCAGGCCAAAUAUCCAUCAAAUAUUUAUUCUCAAGUCUAAGAAAUAAAAAUAAAUUAAUACAAAUGAGAGGCAGGGUUACGGACAAGGGCAUAAUUCAAAUAUAAAUUUAGCCCAAGUACCAUUUCGGUUGCCACUAAGAAUAGCAAGAGGAGAGAUGGAACAGAGGGAUGGAAGUAUGGAUAGCAGUAGAAGAUGUCUAACUUUCUCCCCUUAGUUUGAUCACCACCUGAAAUUCAGCCACCUGACCUGUUCUGCAUAUUUUGAAUUUUCAUUUUUGGUUUUCUUUUCUUUUCAGGUGAUUUCUGCAUGGGAGAUAUGGGGACUAAGACAGUAGGGUAAGAGGAGAAGCACUGUCUCCUCCUUAGGGAUAGAUCUGAGAGCCAGCCAAUGAGACUGAAAGGAUCCAUGAGAUGCAAGUCCAAUCCUCUCUGAGAUGCUGCUCACAAGCCAAGUGACCAGGGCCCAGAGUCCACAGCUGGGUCCUGGGCCCCUUCAAACUACCUCACAGGGUUGUUGUGAGGAUGUCAUGAGAUCAUGACAGUAAAGAGCUCAAUAAAUGUCUCUUGAACAGAUCCAUACAUGUGAUGGUGCUUUGCAAACUAUAAAGCUCCAUACCAAAUGGUAGAGAGAGUCAGGACACUGUUUUGCAGUCACAUAAAGGAAGUGAUUUUUGCCACUCAUUCUCACCCCUCACUUAAGACUGGGGCAUGGGAAGGAAACGGAGAGGAGAAGAGAAGUUUGAAAUAGGAAAUAAAGGAAUAAGAGAACAACAAAUAAAAGAAGAAUCUAAGGUAGAUGAUUCUCCAGUGACCAACUUGUAUUUGAGAGUGGCAAUGAAGAUACAGACAGGAGGGACUUAGAGCUCUUUCUAGGGACAGAAGAACAGAGGUCAAAUGGAUCUUAGAUAUUUACUUCAAGACUCCAGCUCCUGUUUGAAACACCUCCAAUGAUGGGUAACUGUUUUCUCCCUGAGGCAGCUUGUUCUAAUUAUAACCAGUUCUAAUGGUUAGAAAGUAUUUCCUUGUAUUAAGCUGUUUCCUGCAGCUUUAAAUUCUAUCCCUUGGUGCCAUAUAGAAAAAAACUAAUGCCUUGACAUCA